GAUGAAGAACGUAGUGAAAUGCGAUAAGUAAUGUGAAUUGCAGAAUUCAGUGAAUCAUCGAAUCUUUGAACGCACAUUGCGCCCAUUAGUAUUCUAGUGGGCAUGCCUGUUCGAGCGUCAUUAAGUCCACUUAAGCCCUGCUUAGUGUUGGGAGACUGCUCCAGCGGUGCUACCCUGUAGCUACCCUGCAGCUCCUCAAAGACAGCGGCGGAGUUGUGGUAUCCUCUGAGCUUAGUAACUUGUUCUAGCUUUCGAGUACACCACUUCCCCUGCCGUAAAACCCUUAAUUUUUAAUGGUUGACCUCGGAUCAGGUAGGAAUACCCGCUGAACUUAAGCAUAUCAAUAAGCGGAGGA
rnacentral:misc_RNA from 1 species